rnacentral:rRNA from 1 species
AGCAGCCGCGGUAAUUCCAGCUCCAAUAGCGUAUAUUAAAGUUGUUGCAGUUAAAAAGCUCGUAGUUGAAUUUCGGGGUCAGUAGGUCGGUCGUGCCACUGGUAUGAACUUGGUUUUACUGAUUCCCUCCCUCUUGAAGAACUGUAAUGCCAUUAA